GAUGAACGCUGGCGGCGUGCCUAACACAUGCAAGUCGAGCGGACAGACGAUGAGCGUGCUCCUCUGAAGGUACCGGCGGGCGGGUGAGGAACAUGAGGCUAACCUACCUUUGGGAAUAGGAUAAGGAAAUGGAACCGAAGCUAGUACCGGGCAAUAGAUUGAAAGUGGGGGUUCAAUAGUGCAGGCGGUUUUUGAUGACCCUUGGACGUAUUAGCUCGUUGGUGGGGUAACGGCUUACCAAGGCGACGAUCCGUAACCGACCUGAGAGGGUGACCAGUCACACUGGAACUGAGACACGGUCCAGACUCCUACGGGAGGCAGCAGUGGGGAAUAUUGGGCAAUGGGCGAAAGCCUGAUCAAGCAACGCCGCGUGAGUGAAGAAGGUCUUCGGAUCGUAAAACUCUUUUAGUAGGGAAGAACGAAUGUAUAAGUAACUAUGCAUGUUUUGACGGUACCUACAGAAUAAGCACCGGCUAACUACGUG
rnacentral:rRNA from 1 species